AAAAUACAGUGUAGAGAUCUAAUCUGCUAAUAUGAGCAACAGGUUGGUCGUCGAGUCCCAGAGCAGCCUGUACUCAAGGUUCUGGAAAUGGAGCAACAGCUCCACCUGGUGGACUUUUACCAUCAAUGCAGGUACAAUUGAAUUUUGCCAAGAGCUCCAGUAGACAAUAGUUCAAACAAGACAAAGCCCAAGGUAAAAAGACAUAGACAUUUAACAAAAUUGCAGACGUUUUUGAAGAGAGGUUAUGCAAGCUGCUCAAAAAUUAUUUUAGUAUUUAAUGGCCUCACAGGCCAUCAGUUUGGACUCUUCUACAGUAGAUACAUUAUGAUCUCUUUAACCAUCACCAUAUUUGAUUUCAACAGAAACCUUAGAGUUUGUAC